GCUGCCUGCCGUCCUGGCUUAUGGGCUCCCUUUGGCCACUGUUUUUAACACCUGUGGAUACAGUUUGCACCUACCUUGUUUUUGGGGUAAAGAUUCCUCUCUGCUUCCUGGAAUCACUUUCAAAAGAAACAUUCCCCGUGCAAACCACUUCUCCAGCUAGACUCAGCAUUUGGGGUUCAUCUCAUGCAUCUUUCCUGCUGGGAGCCUUGGAUGGGAAGUGCUUACCCGAAAGUGCUGAGCAAGCAGAGAAAGAAGCAAGAAAAACGAGGAAAGACCAGGAAGAAAGAGGGAAGAGGUGAUUGGACAUUUCCAGGAAGUCACAAGGAAUGCUCUGAAUCCUGGGAUUACACUCAGAGUAAGAAAAGAAUGAAAGAAGGAGGAAUGCCCAAACUAAAUGGCAUUCAUAAGGAUGUCACUGGUGCUUUAUCCCGCCAAAGGAUGGAUGCAUCUCCCUGAGACAGUGACAGGAAUGAAAGAUGCAACAGAGUCGCAGUGGGUACAGUUGUUGGGAAGAAUUAUUUUUUUUGUUUUCCUACAGACUUUAAAUUGUUAAUUAUACAGAUUACAUUUGGACAUUUCUUAAAGGCUAUAUGGAUAGUUUAAUAGGUUAAAAAAGGAGGGCGAAAGCUAAAUGCAUUUCAAAACUCAAAAGAAGAUUGAGUUUAAACUCUUUUGAAACCAGAGAGAAGGUAUAAGGUUUGCUAUGAUAUUUACCG